rnacentral:rRNA from 1 species
UACGUAGGGGGCAAGCGUUGUCCGGAAUCAUUGGGCGUAAAGCGCGUGUAGGCGGCUGGCUAAGUCCGCUCUGAAAGCCCGGGGCUCAACCCCGGGAGGCGGGUGGAUACUGGUCAGCUCGAGUCCGGAAGAGGAGUGUGGAAUCCCUGGUGUAGCGGUGAAAUGCGCAGAUAUCAGGAGGAACACCAAUGGCGAAGGCAGCACUCUGGGACGGUACUGACGCUGAGACGCGAAAGCGUGGGGAGCAAACAGG